rnacentral:tRNA from 1 species
GAGAAAGACAUGAUGGUCAUGGGGUUGACUUGAAAUCAAUUUUUUGGGGGUUCGAUUCCUUCCUUUCUUG